rnacentral:rRNA from 1 species
AUACGGAGGGUGCAAGCGUUACUCGGAAUCACUGGGCGUAAAGCGCGCGCAGGCGGCUUGAUAAGUUGGAUGUGAAAGCCUACGGCUCAACCGUAGAACUGCAUCCAAAACUGUCAGGCUAGAGUGUGGGAGAGGAAGAUGGAAUUAGUUGUGUAGGGGUAAAAUCCGUAGAGAUAACUAGGAAUACCAAAAGCGAAGGCAAUCUUCUGGAACACUACUGACGCUGAGGCGCGAAAGCGUGGGUAGCAAACAGGAUUAGAAACCCCAGUAGUCC